AAUUGACCUCGGAUCAGGUAGGGAUACCCGCUGAACUUAAGCAUAUCAAUAAGCGGAGGAAAAGAAACCAACAGGGAUUGCCUCAGUAACGGCGAGUGAAGCGGCAACAGCUCAAAUUUGAAAUCUGGCCCCGUCGGGGUCCGAGUUGUAAUUUGUAGAGAGUGUUUCGGGUGAGACCACGGUCUAAGUUCAUUGGAACAUGGCGUCAUAGAGGGUGAGAAUCCCGUAUGUGACUGUGGCUCGAGCCCAUGUGAAGCCUCUUCGACGAGUCGAGUUGUUUGGGAAUGCAGCUCAAAAUGGGUGGUAAAUUUCAUCUAAAGCUAAAUACUGGCUGGAGACCGAUAGCGCACAAGUAGAGUGAUCGAAAGAUGAAAAGCACUUUGGAAAGAGAGUCAAACAGUACGUGAAAUUGUUGAAAGGGAAGCGCUUGCAACCAGACCUGUCCGUAGGUGAUCAGCCGCUGUUCUCAGCGGUGCACUCGCUCUGCGAUCAGGCCAGCAUCGGUUUCGGCGGUUGGAUAAAGGCCUUGGGAAUGUAGCUCCCUUCGGGGAGUCUUAUAGCCCUCGGUGCAAUGCGGCCAGCCGGGACCGAGGACCGCGCUUCGGCUAGGAUGCUGGCGUAAUGGUUGUAAGCGACCCGUCUUGAAACACGGACCAAGGAGUCUAACAUCUAUGCGAGUGUUUGGGUGUUAAACCCAUGCGCGGAAUGAAAGUGAACGGAGGUGAGAACCCUUUAGGGCGCAUCAUCGACCGAUCCAGAUGUCUUCGGAUGGAUUUGAGUAUGAGCAUAGCUGUUGGGACCCGAAAGAUGGUGAACUAUGCCUGAAUAGGGUGAAGCCAGAGGAAACUCUGGUGGAGGCUCGCAGCGGUUCUGACGUGCAAAUCGAUCGUCAAAUUUGGGUAUAGGGGCGAAAGACUAAUCGAACCAUCUAGUAGCUGGUUCCUGCC
rnacentral:rRNA from 1 species